UUAUCAAAAACAUGUCUUUUUGAAUUAAAUAUAAAGUCUAACCUGCCCAUUGAUAAAAUUAAAAGGCUGCAGUAUUUUGACUGUACAAAGGUAGCAUAAUCAUUAGUUUUUUAAUUGAAAACUUGUAUGAAGGGUUGAACAAAAUAUUAACUGUAUCAUAAAAAUAAUUAGAAAUUAAUUUUUUAGUAAAAAAGCUAAAAUUAAUUUAAAAGACGAGAAGACCCUAUAGAUUUUUAUAUUUGUUUUAUUAUAAUUUAUUUAUUUUUAUUAAAAUUUUAUUUAAAUAAAUAUUUUGUUGGGGUGAUAUUAAAAUUUAAAAAACUUUUAUUUUUUUUUACAUAAAUUUAUGAAUAAUUGAUCCAAUUUUAUUGAUUAAAAGAUUAAAUUACCUUAGGGAUAACAGCGUAAUAUUUUUAUAGAGUUCUUAUCGAAAAAAAAAAUUGCGACCUCGAUGUUGGAUUAAGAUAAAUUUAAGGUGUAGAAGCUUUAUAAUUAGGUCUGUUCGACCUUUAAAUUCUUACGUGAUCUGAGUU
rnacentral:rRNA from 1 species